GAUAUCGCAUCCUAUGUCUACGUAUCUCAUCUGGAAUGAGAAUCAGAGCUACCGUAGUUCGGCUCACGCACGCCAAACAAAACACAAACAGGAAACCGACUGCCAAUCACUGGACUUAUGUCAGACUCCACACAAACAGGCAAACAUGGAAACCGAAUGCCAAUCGCUGGACUUACAUCAGACUCCGAACCAACAAACACACAC
rnacentral:lncRNA from 1 species